rnacentral:rRNA from 1 species
CAGCAGCCGCGGUAAUACGGAGGGUGCAAGCGUUGUCCGGAUUUAUUGGGUUUAAAGGGUGCGUAGGCGGUUUAUUAAGUCAGUGGUGAAAGACGGUCGCUCAACGAUUGCAGUGCCAUUGAUACUGGUAGACUUGAGUGAGAUUGAGGUAGCUGGAAUGGAUAGUGUAGCGGUGAAAUGCAUAGAUAUUAUCCAGAACACCAAUUGCGUAGGCAAGUUACUAAGUCUCAACUGACGCUGAGGCACGAAAGUGUGGGUAUCAAACAGGAUUAGAUACCCUGGUAGUCCACACUGUAAACGAUGAUAACUAACUGUUGGCUUUUGGGUCAGUGGUACAGAGAAAUCGUUAAGUUAUCCACCUGGGGAGUACGCCGGCAACGGUGAAACUCAAAGGAAUUGACGG